rnacentral:tRNA from 1 species
GCAGCCAUAGCUCAGUCUGGUAGAGCAACCGAGAGAUUCGGUCGGUCGUUGGUUCAACUCCAACUGGCUGCU